AUUAAAGCUGCAAGCAGCGAUGGACGGGUCCUCGCAUCCACGCUGGUCGGCGAAUCCAUGCACGUCCACCAGGUGGCACUGUGACUGAGAGUGUGUGCUGGCCUCUGAAUCACAUCUGGACCAGAGUUUAAUCACACGUAAAAUUUCAGCCAGAUUGGAGCAUGUUCAGACUAGUUAUACAGCAUUUCCUGCCCAUCCACCACCAGGUGGCGCUGUAACUCAGAGUGUAUUUCAAACAGUGGAUGUGAUGAGGGCUGGACUCUGAUCACUCAUGAAAAGUUUCAGGCUGAUUUGAUCAUGUAGAGGCCAGUUAUACAGCAUUUAUUGUCCCUCCAACAGGUGGCGCUGCAACUGAGAGUGUCUGUUGGCCUGUAGAUGUGAUCAGGAUUGGAUUGUGAUCACACAUGGAAAGUUUGAGGCAGAUUGGAGCAUGCAGAGGAGAGUUAUACAGCAGUUGUUGUUUCAUGGCGAAGCAUCAAAACUCUAAUGGUCGCCAUGGCCACGCCAUUUGGCUUCUGGUUAAACUUUUGAUAACUUUUCCAAACCAAGUCCUGCUGUGUGGACUGACAAAAUUUCAGGUCUCCUGGAAUUAUCCCCUAGGAGGUAUUAACUCUCAAAAAUGAGAAAAAUCAUCAAAAAUCUCACAAUUAAUCCAAGAUAGCCGACUUCCUGUUGGGUUUAGGACAUGGCUCCAAGAGGCUUUUUUGUGCGUCCUGAUGUGCUCUAUAAGCCUCCCAAAUUUCAUGGAUGUAGGUGAAACGUGCUGGGGGGGCUGUUUGUUAAAAAUACUGUAGGGGGCGCUAUAGCAUGUGCAGUGCCGAGAUGCAUACGGUGUUGUUCCUUGGGUCAAUGGUGAUGUGUGUGGUAAUUUUUGUGAGCAUUGGAGUAUUCCUAACCUGUCAGAAAGGGCUUUGUUUUUCAUGGCGAUAUUUGGUUGCUACGGCAACAGCGUUGCAUGAAAUGUCACACCCUUCACAGUGUGUGAUUGUCAAGAGGUGAAGACUCGACUGACCAAUUUCCAGCAUGAUAUCACCAAGUUUGGGGCCAUUGUACCUGAAAAUAUAAGGCCUUAAACUUACUAUUACCAACAGGUGGCGCUAUGACUUUUUCAAAAUUUAUGAGUGUGGAUGUGUUCAGACUGGACCUGGUAUCCAGCAUGUGAAGUCUGAGGCAGAUAGGAUGUUGUUCAGCUGAGAUAUGAAUCGUUAAAUUUUCAUGGCGAAACAUCGAAAUUGGUUUGGCCGCCACAGACACGCCCUUUGAUGACAAGUCACCAUUUUCACUGGGAUGCAUCAUCAAUGUGUUUAGGCUGUUGUCACUGCAUUUGAAGUGAAUAUGAUCAACCGGGUAACAAUAGGGCAUGAAAGUGUAAAAGAUGUCUAUUUCCUGAAACCACAAGGUGGCGCUAUGACUGUCAAUGAAUAUCCCUAUGUGGAUGACAUCAGGACAGGACUGUCAUCAUACAUGUAAAGUUUCAGGCAGAUUGGAGCAUGUUGAGAAGAAUUAGACACCAAUUCCUGUUUCAUGGCGAAGGAUCAGUUGUUUGAGGCUCCGCCAUGGCCACACCUUUUGGCUUCUGGUUGAGUUUUUGAUAACUUUUCAUCAGAAAGGUCUGGUGAAUGUACUGGCCAAAUUUCAGUUCUCUCAGACUUAUCCACUAGGAGCUAUAAAUUUUGACAAAUGUACAGCAAAUUCAAGAUGGCCGACUUCCUGUUGGGUUUAGGGUGUGGCUGUGAUUGACUUUUUGGUGUGUCCUGAUGUGGUGCAUAUGCCCACCAAAUAUUGUAGCUGUAAAUAAAACAUUGUGGAAGUUG